rnacentral:rRNA from 1 species
CCUACGGGAGGCUGCAGUGAGGAAUUUUGGUCAAUGGACGAGAGUCUGAACCAGCCAAGUAGCGUGAAGGAUGACUGCCCUAUGGGUUGUAAACUUCUUUUAUAUGGGAAUAAAACGUUCCACGUGUGGGAUUUUGUAUGUACCAUAUGAAUAAGGAUCGGCUAACUCCGUGCCAGCAGCCGCGGUAAUACGGAGGAUCCGAGCGUUAUCCGGAUUUAUUGGGUUUAAAGGGAGCGUAGGUGGAUUGUUAAGUCAGUUGUGAAAGUUCGCGGCUCAACCGUAAAAUUGCAGUUGAAACUGGCAGUCUUGAGUACAGUAGAGGUGAGCGGAAUUCGAGGUGUAGCGGUGAAAUGCUUAGAUAUCACGAAGAACUCCGAUGGCGAAGGCAGUUCACUGGUCUGCAACUGACACUGAGGCUCGAAAGUGUGGGUAUCAAACAGGAUUAGAUACCCCUGUAGUC